GAAAAUGGAAGACAUUUAGAAGAAAGGAUUGGAUUCAUGAAAUAAGAGCGAUCUUCCAAGAAAGGUAUCGCCCGGACAGGUAUAUUAGAACAGAAAUUCAGAGAGAGAAGAGGAGGGAUAUCUUUUUUGACGUCAUUUCAUUCUCUCUUUUCACUGGACAAUGGCAACUAUAAUAAUGAUAGCAUCUUGUGUUAGCUUUAAUUGUAUAGUUUUCUCAAUUGGGAAGAAUAUUAAGACAAUGAAGAAAAUCAUUCUGUACUUGUGCUUGUUUUUACUUUUCAAAAAAACUGUUGCUGAUGAUGCG